AACGGGAUUGGUCCUGUGGGA
rnacentral:snRNA from 1 species